rnacentral:rRNA from 1 species
CACGGAGUUAGCCGGUGCUUCCUCACCCGGUACCGUCAGUCCUCUCGAAAGAGGAUGUUCGUCCCGGGCAACAGUGGUUUACACCCCGAAGGGCGUCCUCCCACACGCGGCGUCGCUGCGUCAGCCUUUCGGCCAUUGCGCAAGAUUCCCCACUGCUGCCUCCCGUAGGAGUCUGGGCCGUUUCUCAGUCCCAAUGUGGCUGGCCAUCCUCUCAGACCAGCUACCCGUCAUCGCCUUGGUGGGCCAUUACCCCGCCAACUAGCUGAUAGGCCGCGAGCUCCUCGAUGUCCCCCGGAGGUUUCCUUGCCUCGAGACUCCUCAAAGCAAGCGUAUGCGGUAUUACCCGGCCGUUGGGCCGGCUAUCCCCCAGACAUCGGCAGAUUGCUCACGUGUUACGCACCCGUUCGCCGGUUGGUAUUGCUACCCCCGUGACUUGCAUGUGUUAAGCACGCCGCCAGCGUCGUCCUGAGCCAGGAUCAAACUACU